rnacentral:rRNA from 1 species
AGAGUUUGAUCCUGGCUCAGAACGAACGCUGGCGGCAGGCUUAACACAUGCAAGUUGAACGGGAUUUGUGUGGUGCUUGCACCAUAUAAUGAGAGUAGCGCACUGGUGAGUAACACGUGGGAACGUACCUUUUGGUGGGGGACAACAUCUGGAAACGGAUGCUAAUACCGCAUAAGACCUGAGGGUGAAAGAUUUAUCGCCGAAAGAACGGCCCGCGGAAGAUUAGGCAGUUGGUGGGGUAAAGGCCUACCAAACCUACGAUCUAUAGCUGGUCUGAGAGGACGAUCAGCCACACUGGAACUGAGACACGGUCCAGACUCCUACGGGAGGCAGCAGUGAGGAAUAUUGGGCAAUGGAGGCAACUCUGACCCAGCCAUGCCGCGUGAGUGAAGAAGGUUUUCGGAUUGUAAAGCUCUUUCGGAUGUGACGAUGAUGACGGUAGCAUCUAAAGAAGCCCCGGCUAACUUCGUGCCAGCAGCCGCGGUAAUACGAAGGGGGCGAGCGUUGUUCGGAAUUACUGGGCGUAAAGGGUGUGUAGGCGGUUAAGUAAGAUAGUGGUGAAAUGCCGGGGCUCAACCUCGGAAUUGCCAUUAUGACUAUUUAGCUAGAAUGAUGCAGAGGAUAGCGGAAUACCCAGUGUAGAGGUGAAAUUCGUAGAUAUUGGGUAGAACACCGGUGGCGAAGGCGGCUAUCUGGCCAUAUACUGACGCUGAGGCACGAAAGCAUGGGGAUCAAACAGGAUUAGAUACCCUGGUAGUCCAUGCUGUAAACGAUGAAUGCUGGUUGUCGGCUUUAGGGUCGGUGACGAAGUUAACGCGAUAAGCAUUCCGCCUGGGGAGUACGGUCGCAAGAUUAAAACUCAAAGGAAUUGACGGGGACCCGCACAAGCGGUGGAGCAUGUGGUUUAAUUCGAAGCAACGCGAAGAACCUUACCAAGUCUUGACAUCGUGAUGACCGGAACUUAACCGUUCCUUCCCUUCGGGGCAUCAUAGACAGGUGGUGCAUGGUUGUCGUCAGCUCGUGUCGUGAGAUGUUGGGUUAAGUC